rnacentral:lncRNA from 1 species
CCCCGGACUCCUCCCUGCCCUCUCCGGCUUCCCUGCCUCACAGGCUCCUCGCGUUCCCAGAGGGCUCCUUCCUGGGCCUGCCUGUGCCCCCCUUCUCCCGGCUCUCCUGUCCCCGGCCAGCUGCCGCAGAAAAUUUUCUGGAACUUGAGAAUCAUGGUAACACAGAAGUGGAGUGGCAUCCGUCAGUCAUCUCUAGCUCCACCUUAUGUCAAGGGUCUUUGAGGAGAAGGCAGUCCUUCCGCAUCAUGAGCUCCAUCCUAAAGAUGACUGUAGCCAGAGAGGAGAGGCUGCCGAUGGAGAGAGGAAUCAGUGGGAGGUCUUGUGUCUCCAUCACAUUUUUGCCCAGAGAUAGAGGAGAUUGUGCUCAGUUUUGGGGUAUUGAGUGUCACCCCCUUAAGGAGCCUCACAGGAAACAUAUCUCUGAGAUUUCAACUGUCUGGGCAAUGUCAAAGCAGAAAAUGAGCCUGAAAGUUCAAAAAUUUCCACAAACCUCCUCAUUAAACUGGACAAUUUAGUUAAGCCCCGAAGACAAGGUGUAUCAGACACUGCUCUCAUACCCAGGUAUGUUGUCUUUGCCAUUCUUUUGACAUUUUCUCCAGUGCUUUGAGAUACAGUUAUGUUCAGUAAAGUGCUCCCUGAGCUCACCUAUGAGCUUUCAUGCAUCGCUACAACUCUAAUCAAGAUAGAGAAUAUCUCUCUCACCUGGAAAGCUCUUACACAUCCCUUUGCAUUCAGCCCGGCCCUCAACCCGAUAUCCGCUCUGAUCUAUCGCCAUAGGUUGGUUUUGUUGAGUUUCAAACACAUACACACUCCUUGAGCCUGGCUUCUUUCACCACACAUAAUGGUUUUGGGAUUCAUUUGUUUUGUAGAGUAUAUAGGUAGUGUGUCCCUUUUCAUUGUCGAGUAUGGCUUCAUGUGAACGUAUCAUGGUUUAUUCAUUUUCCUGGUGACAUUUGGGUGGCUCCUCAUUUGGAGCCAUUAUAAGUGAAGGUGCUAUGAGCGUUGUUGUAUGUGUAUUUUUGUGGAUGUACCUUUUAAUUUCCUUUGGGUAGGGGAUCCCUGGGUGGCGCAGCGGUUUGGCACCUGCCUUUGGCCCAGGGCGAGAUCCUGGAGACCCGGGAUCGAGUCCCACGUCGGGCUCCCGGUGCAUGGAGGCUGCUUCUCCCUCUGCCUGUGUCUCUGCCUCUCUCUCUCUGUGUGACUAUCAUAAAUAAAUAAAAAUUAAAAAAAAUAAUUUCCUUUGGG